rnacentral:misc_RNA from 1 species
UAAUGAGUGCAAUAAAGCUGAGCAUUGGCUGAGAGAGAGAACCCAACAACAAGAUUCCCUACCCAAGAACACCAAUCCUGUAUUAUGGUCAUCGGAGAUAAAGAGGAGGACAGAGGAUUUAAACUUGUACUAUUCUUCUACAUUAUAUUUGCAUUACUAGAAAGUUCAUAUUUUUAUUUUAAUCUUAACUUAACUCAUUGCCACCAAAGGCCUCAUUCAGUGAUCCUACACCUUACAGUUAAUUGCAUUUAUGAUCAGUAGCCUUCUCAAGAGUGUUGUAAUCUUUCCUGUCAUCGAUUUCAGGGUAUGCAAACAGGCAAUGGAAAGGAAGUCUUCUCCACAAAAUUCAGAGGACAAGAAGGGCCCAGACCAUCAAGUAUAGGUUCAAGGCGUUGGAAGUCCUCUUCAGAAAAGUUCACUUAAAAUUCACAAUUGUAACGUACACAGUUUACACAGCCUAAUUAUACAAUUUUGAUAUCGACAGUCAUACACAAAAACUAGUAGUAGUAUGAAGGAUCCGGUUUUCCCUGCUUUGCAGUAACCUAAUGUCAUAUUACUACACAGGGCAGAUGGUGAGGUGCUCAUAAAGAUGGGUGGUCCAUAUGGCUUUUGAUCUAAGCACGUCAUGCUUAUUUACCUGUUUCAAUGCUUCUGGAUGUACAAAAGAAUUUUUGAAUUUUGCUUGAUUUUAACUGAUGUAACUAUAUUCUAUGCGUGGUUGAUUGGCAAGUGUGCCUCCAGCACUAGUCUCCUUGCACUUCUUCUCACCAACUACCUAUUCACUGGAUGCCUUGUUGCAUGGCUUUUACCUAUUUUUUCAUAAGUAGUGUUAGAAGAAAGAAUAUAAGUAA